rnacentral:rRNA from 1 species
ACGCCUAACACAUGCAAGUCGAACGAAGUAGCAAUACUUAGUGGCAGACGGGUGAGUAACAUGUAGGUAUCUACCCUUUGGCCUGGAAUAACACGAGGAAACUUGUGCUAAUACCGGAUAAGUCUUUACGGAGAAAGCUUUAUGCACCAUUGGAUGAGCCUGCACUUGAUUAGUUUGUUGGUAGGGUAAUGGCCUACCAAGACUUUGAUCAAUAGCUGAUUUGAGAGGAUGAUCAGCCACAUUGGGACUGAGACACGGCCCAAACUCCUACGGGAGGCAGCAGUGGGGAAUCUUGCACAAUGGAGGAAACUCUGAUGCAGCGAUGCCGCGUGAGUGAAGAAGGCCUUUGGGUUGUAAAGCUCUUUCGUCGGGGAAGAAAAUGACUGUACCCGAAUAAGAAGGUCCGGCUAACUUCGUGCCAGCAGCCGCGGUAAUACGAAGGGACCUAGCGUAGUUCGGAAUUACUGGGCUUAAAGAGUUCGUAGGUGGUUGAAAAAGUUGGUGGUGAAAUCCCAGAGCUUAACUCUGGAACUGCCAUCAAAACUUUUCAGCUAGAGUUUGAUAGAGGAAAGCAGAAUUUCUAGUGUAGAGGUGAAAUUCGUAGAUAUUAGAAAGAAUACCAAUUGCGAAGGCAGCUUUCUGGAUCAUUACUGACACUGAGGAACGAAAGCAUGGGUAGCGAAGAGGAUUAGAUACCCUCGUAGUCCAUGCCGUAAACGAUGUGUGUUAGACGUUGGAAAUUUAUUUUCAGUGUCGCAGCGAAAGCGAUAAACACACCGCCUGGGGAGUACGACC